GUUCUUGUAGCUCAAUGGUAGAGCAGCUGGCUUUUAACCAGUCGGGAAUUGUUUAAAGCUCCACAAAGAUCAAGAGCA